UUUGCACAUAUUUUUCAAAUAACUUAGUUGUUGUUGUGGCGUCAGAACUCUGUAGAAUUCUGAUCACUUAGCUGUAAUACGAGUUUAUCGAGUUAGACAUUUUCUUGUGAAAAAAUACUGACGAAAUGUAACAGUCGCAAUUUCUUUUACGCAGCAAUCUGAUGGUAUGGACGAAUAGAGGCCAACGGCUGCGCCUAAAAAAAAGAAUCCUGGUCAGUCCAAAACCGGGCUGUCGAACAGAACCGUCCGAGGUGUCAAUAGUUCUUUGGUAUCGAACUCCUUUCAGCACGUAUAAUAACUAUGGAUGCUCCAAAGUUCGACGCGAAUGAAUUAUGAACCCCUCGGUUCUGGACUGACCAGGAUUAUUUUUUUUAAGCGCGGCCGAUGGUCGCCAGUGCAGAAAGGAGUUACCACGCAAAAUAACAGUUUAAACUUUACAGCUUGAAGUGUUGCCACCUUCUUCAGGAUUCUUUUUGAACGUGUCUGUGAAAAUUUAGAAAAAUGCAUUCUUUGCUUCGAAUAUGGCGGCAAAGUAAUAUUAGCAACAAUAACAACAAAGCACACUGUUUUCUUUCCUCAUCACCUCGCUAUGCAUCAAAUCACUCCGGAACUAAAGUUAUUAGAUCACCUACUCGGGUGGCGCCUCGAAACUCCAUCGGAAGUAAAUUAAGCCGUUCCCCAGCAUUGGAACGCCAUUUUGGAUUGAAUUCUGUACGUUUGAUGUCAAAAGAUGAAAAACGAGGAUUCGAGGCCGUAUUGCCAGGAUUCUAAAAACAUUGAGAAAACGGUGCCCUAGCGAAAAAAAAUUUUAAGAACUCUCUACUACUAAUUAAGUGGCACACACCUUUACACAAAUUUUGUUUCUUAAAGAUGUUUUGCGUGACCUUGGCUCAAUAGCUGAACAAUACAAAAGCAAAGAAGCGGGUGAAUGGUUCAGGAAGUCUCUGCAGUAUAAUUUAUCACUUACAAAUUACAAAAAUGGCCUAAUCCCCGUUUUGACAUACAAAAGUUUAGCAAAAGGCGAGCAACUCCGUGCGGAACAUUUAAGAUUGGCACAUAUACUUGGCUGGUGUUUUGAAAUGAUGUUGUGCUUCAUACUCAUAGCCGAUGACAUGGUGGACAAAAGCACAAUACGUCGUGGUCAAUUAUGUUGGCAUAAAUUGGAGGAGGUCGGUCUCUCUGCCAUAAAUGAUAUAAUCCUGAUAGAGAACGGAAUUUAUGAGCUUCUCAACAAACAUUUUCGCCACUUGGAUUGCUAUGUUGAUCUUCUCGAAUUGUUUCAUCAAAACAUUUUUAAAUGUUUAUGUGGGCAAUCAUUAGAUUUCCUUCUCACUAAAAGGAAUGUGACUACCUUCAAUAUGGAGACAUAUGAUUCAUUAGUGAUGAAUAAGACUUCCUGCCAUUUUUUUUAUUUGCCCGUUUUUGUAGGGAUGCAUUUGGCAGGUGUGAAUGAUAAAAAUGUCUUCGACGAAUCCCAGAGCAUUUUAUUUGACUUGGGUCAUUAUUCCCAAGUUCAAAAUGAUUUUCACGACUGUUUUGGUAAAUAUGAAUACACUGGCAAAAUCGGCACAGAUAUUGAAACCAACAAAUGCUCCUGGUUGGCGGUGAAGUGUAUGGAACUGGCAAACACACAACAAAAGUCUAUUAUGGCAGAAUGCUACGGACAUAACGAUCCUCAGAAGAUAGAUCGCGUUAAGCACGUUUAUGAAGAAUUGGAUAUGCUCAAUAUUUAUGCCAAAUAUGAAGAAGAUACCUGCAACAAUAUUCUUAUGAAUAUCCAAAAAACAUCAGAUACAGUGCCCCGAGAGAUUUUGAUAGAAAUUCUUUGUCAAAUUUAUGACAAAGAAAUUAAAUAAAGACAUGAACUACAAAAGAACAAAAAAUAAACUACUUAAUUUUUUUGCGGUGUUAUCAAAGAAUUUCCAUUAUUUUCUAUGAACCAAGUGAACUGUAUCAAAAUUUUGCCUUGCUUCCUAAUAUUUAUUUAAAGCGCUUCUAAAAUAUUUCGAUAAUUAAUUGUUUCUAAUAAAAACAUAGCUGUAAUUUUGACCGUA